CUACGGGUUGCUCCAGUGAGGAAUAUUGCACAAUGGGGGGAACCCUGAUGCAGCGACGCCGCGUGGAGGAUGACGCAUUUCGGUGUGUAAACUCCUUUUAUAUGUCAAGAAAAUGACGGUAGCAUAUGAAUAAGCACCGGCUAACUCCGUGCCAGCAGCCGCGGUAAUACGGAGGGUGCAGGCGUUACUCGGCAUCACUGGCGUAAAGGACGCGUAGGCGGGUUGGAAAGUCAGGUGUGAAAUCCUACAGCUUAACUGUAGAACUGCACUUGAAACUUCUAAUCUAGAGUAUGGGAGGGGGAGAUGGAAUUAGUGGUGUAGGGGUAAAAUCCGUAGAUAUCACUAGGAAUACCUAAAGCGAAGGCGAUCUCCUGGAACAUUACUGACGCUAAGGCGUGAAAGCGUGGGGAGCAAACAGGAUUAGAUACCCUUGUAGUC
rnacentral:rRNA from 1 species